CCGCGGGCUGGGCAGAAGCGCGGUCGGGCUGCAGGAGCGCGGGGUGCCCCGUGCGAAGGGGCGGCUCGCCGGACCCCCUCACCCGAACUCCGGGGUUGUCCCCCCUGCAGUGGCCGGCGGGGCCCGUCCCUCUGUGGAGUGCACAGCGUGCGGCCCACACCGCUGUGCGCUGGUUGCGGGCGGGCAGGGGCGGCUCUCGGGAAAGGAGCACCUGGCACCGUGGCAGCGGGAAGGGGCGAGGGUGGGCUGAGGGGGGGGGAGCUACGGGGAGAGGGGUUUCCUCAGGGGGAUCCCACCGGCUCGCUCCCCCACCUAGAAAGUUAAGUCAGGGCUUGACUGAGCCCUGGCGAGGGGAGAGCCAGCUCUCUGCUCCCUAGCUGGACCCUGGGCCAGCAAGGGACCAGCAUGUCUCCUUGGUUUGGCUGAGGUGGGAAAGCCUGUGUAGAUGCAGGCUGGUGGAGGUCAUUGGUUGAGGAGUCCCUUGAAAGCCUUCCCUAGGACAUGUAACAUGCAAUCAAGUUUCCUUUUCUCUACAUAACCAGCACCUUUGCAGUCAGACAACGCUGCUUUGCCAGCCGAGGCUCGGGGUGAGCUCCUCUCUGCCUGUGCAGGGUUUGGAUGUUACCAUCACACCUGAUAUAUUUCCCCAAAUGAAGAAGCAGUGUAUCUCUGUCUUCUCUGCAGAAAUUUCUGCUGGAAUGGAGAAAGAAAAGUUUGCAUAAGAACUUGUCACAAAGACAAAUGAGUUUAAGAGACUAAGAAGAGAGCCAUGUCAUUUGAAGUUCACAAAGAUGGUGAUCAACAAGCCACCAGAAUUAUAGAUGGAGCUGUUCUGUGAGAACAAAAUGGAUGUUAAUCUGUAACUUAUGUCAACUCUGUGUCCUCCAGGAAACACUGUAAACAGUUGAUUUCACUUCAUUGUGAAUACUCUAGUCUUUCUCUAAGAGAUGAAGAUGCUACUCAUGCAAGCAGCUUGGAAACUUGCAGUUCUUUAAAAGAACAAAGAGAAUUUUGAGAACAAGUACAUUGCAAGGUGUUUGAAAUGUGUCCAUGCAUUUCCUGCAUAAUUGGAUCCUACCUCAUUAAGGGAAAAUUUUAUUGGAAAGAUGCGAUGCUAGUUCAAAUGUCAUUCCUCAGUGCCACAAAAUAAUGUGGCUGCUCCACAAGAAUAGAGGUCCUGCAGAGCAAGCAGUGUCAGGACUGUUUUGAGAGUGAGAGCACUGCUAAGAUGAGACUUCUGUCGAGGGAAAAACGGAGAGCAUAAUUUUUGCUUGAAGGCAAGAAUAUAUAAUGGCAUUUUCCCCCUUUAAUCUGAAACUUGGAGAGAAAAACAACAGCAUUUUGAAAAAGAGAAUGGACAAAGAGGAGUGAGAAUAACUGGCAGUGGGUGAGAUGCUUUCAUGACAAGGAUAAAUAGUAAGCUGAGGAAGAACACAGAAUGUGGCUUGGAGAUGCUUUGAAUAGGCUUUCUUCAAAGUGUUUAUUUCUUUAUUUUGCUUAAUUACUUCAGAUUUAUACCUAUGCGUUUUGAUUUACUUGCAAAAAAAAAAAAAAAAAGAUUGUAGAAGCCAAACCCUUGUUGUGCUCUAAACUCUUCUCACUACAAUGCUGUCUGGGGAAGAGUGUGUUGCCCUCACAUAAGUGUGUAGAACUGACUUGCAGUUACCUCUGUAUCCCUGACAAUUCCCUCGAGCACAGACAGUCUAUGACAAGUGAAAACUGUUGAUGUUUCCUGUGAUAAAACUUCAAAAUUCCACUUGGGGUCAAUGAAGCAAUAUUUAAUUUCAAGAAAUUGAAACACUUCAUUCAGAUUUGGACUCUUUUAAUUUUAUAUUAUUAUGAUAUGAAAAAUAGUGGAAACAGAAGAAUAUCACCAGGGGAAACUAGUAUCAUUCUAUUUUCUGUGCUUCAAUAUACACCCUAAAUAAUUAUUGCAUGAGGGUUUUUUGUUUAUGGAGGGCAUAUAGGGGUUUUUUGGGUGUUUUAUUUGGGGAGGUAUUUGUUUUAAAUUUCUAAUGGAUUUUUCAGUGCAGACAUGUAUUUCUGUGUCUGGGGAUCUGUGAAAAAUGAUUCCUGAAAAAUUAAUUUUCAAACAAUCAUUAUUAUUUUAGUUCAAAA